AUGGUUGGACGAAAUAUUAACUGUUUCAUUUAAAUUUUUUAUAGAAUUUUAUUUUUUAGUCAAAAAGCUAAAAUAAAUUUAAAAGACGAGAAGACCCUAUAAAUCUUUAUAUUUUAUUUAUUUUAAUUAUAAAGAUUAUUUUAAUUUUAAUAAAAUAAAAUAUUUUAUUGGGGUGAUAUUAAAAUUUAAAAAACUUUUAAUUUAUUAAAACAUUAAUUUAUGAAUUAUUGAUCCAUUAAUAAUGAUUAAAAAAUUAAGUUACUUUAGGGAUAACAGCGUAAUUUUUUUGGAGAGUUCAUAUCGAUAAAAAAGAUUGCGACCUCGAUGUUGGAUUAAGAUAUAAUUUUGGGUGUAGCCGUUCAAAUUUUAAGUCUGUUCGACUUUUAAAUUCUUACAUGAUCUGAGUUCAAACCGGUGUAAGCCAGGUUGGUUUCUAUCUUUAAAAAAUUAUAAUAUUUUAGUACGAAAGGACCAAAUAUUAGAAUAAAUAUAUUUUUUAUUAUGAAUAUUAUUAAUUU
rnacentral:rRNA from 1 species